ACAAACUUUAAGCGUUCGAGCAAAUUAUACACUUUUACACAAAUUAUUCAAUUUCCCCUACAGGAAGAAAAACUAAAUUUUGAAUUGUUGUUUUUAAGAAAAGCCCAAAUAGUAAUUCAGGGUUUUGAAAUUCUGGGUUUGUUGGUUUUUUUGCAAUUGAAGAUCCAAUAUUGGGGAGAAGAGUUUGGAAGAAUUAGAGACACUAAAUCUAAAAACUCAGGUAUUACUCUCGGUUUCCUGUUAAUAUUUAUAGCAAUACUUAGGAUGGUCUCAGUUGAUGAUGGAUCGAUAUUCUCACAUUUUGCUAAUUUGUUGUUGUGUCUGGGAUGGUACAAAUGCAUAUCUUCUCAAGUAUUAAGUUGUUGCUAAAUUAUGUCAUACUAUUUCCGAAAUGGGUUUUCCAUUGUUAAAGAACUGCAAGGUUCUAUCAAUUUUCUUGGAUGCUGGCCCUGAUGUUAGAUGGGUUGGAGAUGAUACGGGAAUGCUGGGAGUACAUGUUGGUCAACGAUCAAUUGAAUUGCACUUCAAAUUCAAGAGUGCUGCAUCGUCAGCUAUCUUAACAUGUAUAGGCGAUUCGAACAUAGUGGUUGCCACUGAGUCUGUGUGGCGUAUCAAUUAGACCAUAAGAGCACGUGAUGCUUUCCCAAUUGCAGUGAACAACGCGGUCAACCUAAGGUGCACAAUACUUAUGGAGCUAUACUGUUCCUCACUUUGACCCGAAAUCACGGCAAUACAGUCACAGCGCAAAAAUGGAAUAAUAUAGGGUGGAGUUGGUAUGCAUUUAACUCCAGACCAUAGUGGCCAAGCCGGUACUUUCAUGUAUACCUGCGUUUUGGAUGCCACCAAGUUUACACGAGAAACCAGCCAAUGGAGUGCACCUACCAGAAACACCAAUGACUGGUGGUCAGAUGGGAAAUCAGGACCCUCGCCCGCCAAACGUAGCCAACUUUGCUUACCUACAUUUUACUUUCUAAUUACGGUGAGAACAUGAUUUCGCGAGGUGUCCACAGUGGUUCUCUAAUAUUGGUUGAUUUGUUCCCUCUGUCGAUUAGUACUCGACAUUGGAUAUGGAGAAGUGCUUCGCCAGGUUGUAAGCCUUCCAUCAGAGCAAACUAAUAUACUUCCACCAGAGCAAAGGGCAUCAAGUACUUCUAUAUAAGUUCUCAGAAACGAAGUGUUUGGUGGUGAGUGCAGAGUUGGAGAAAUGCAUACAAAGAUCAAGAAAGGCACGAAGUUGUUGGUUGUGAAUGCAUAGUUGGAUUCUGAAUGUUACGAUCAGUUUGAUUACGAUAAUCACUUUCAGAUCAUAUGACCAAGCAGGACGUUUGAAAUUACCAAUUUUAAGGCUAGACUAUCUGAUUGACUGCACGAAAAGGAAGUAGGUGAUUCCAUUUGAUCAAGGUGUAAUUGAACCCUCUUCUAAGGAUUCCAGAUGUUCAGUGGAUGAGAAGCUUUAUGUUGUGGAUGAUGUUUUAGUCUGCAAGGUUAUAGUCACGGCAAAUUGUACCUAUCUGCUGGCAUUAAUAGUUACAUAGAGUACUUCUAGAUUUUUGUUUCAUUGAUUAUCGUCUGCUGCAUUCUUUUAUGCAAUUUGCAAUUAUCAUGUACUGCAUAUCAUCUCAAAAGUGGACGCUACUAAAGAAAUUUUCAACAGUGUCGUGUCUUAGUUCAUUGGCUUUUCUAUGUAAU